UUUGCCUACGGGGCGCAGCAGUGAGGAAUAUUGGUCAAUGGGCGAGAGCCUGAACCAGCCAAGUCGCGUGAGGGAGUACUGCCCUAUGGGUUGUAAACCUCUUUUGUCGGGGAGCAAAAGCCGGACGUGUCCGGCUGUGAGAGUACCCGAAGAAAAAGCAUCGGCUAACUCCGUGCCAGCAGCCGCGGUAAUACGGAGGAUGCGCGCGUUAUCCGGAUUUAUUGGGUUUAAAGGGUGCGCAGGCGGCACGGCAAGCCGGCGGUCAAAUCGCGGGGCUCAACCCCGCCCAGCCGUC
rnacentral:rRNA from 1 species